ensembl:misc_RNA
UAAUGAAUUGAUGAGAAAUAACAACGAAGAUCAAAUAACCAUCUCAAAAUACUGCUUUUACAAAAGCAGAAUAAAACAAAAUGAAAAAUGG